rnacentral:misc_RNA from 1 species
GCUUGCGUGCGCCCAUUAUACCGUUCCCCCGCCUUCCCCUCCCUCUCUCUCUCAAGCACACAGAGAGAGACACAGGAACAAGAGCCUGCGCUGCGUAGGCGCGUUGUGCCGGGAGCUCUUGCACAAUUUUUGGGUUAGUCUCUUCGUGUGUGUGUGUGUGUGUGUGUGGUUUGGCUCACAGUUCCCACAUGAAUGCAGCGCACAGCAGUCGUGCAGUGCUGCUGUGGCGCUCAUGUCGCUGAAGCUCGCCGUUCUCGCCUCCUUUGGUGCGCACAGCGGGCAGCGUUGGAGCACAGGCGUCGGCAGGCGGUGGAGUGGUCCUGUACGCCCUGCGCUAAAAAUCUGUCUCGGUCAGUCCUGCCAUGCCGACGGCAUGGCACCAAGAAUGUGACUAGCGGCGUAUCGAAUUGGGCCAUGAACUUGAAGCUAUCGAUAUCCGCGAUCACCGCUUCGACUCGCCGCUAUUCCUCUGGGCUGCACGAUGGAGAGGGGUGGCGGCGUGGUAGCGGCGGCGGCAGUGGCCACGCUGACCGCAUCCUCGGCGACGUGGCAGAGCGACUAUCCGACAGGCAGGAUGAGAGGGAAGCCGCAGAGGAAGACGACGCGGCGGCAUGGGGCAGCGUAAAAUUUCUUCCUUUCCAGGACGCGGGAUGGGAUGCGCCACCUUCGUCAUCGAGCGCCUUCUCGGCCACGGCAUCGCCUGACCCGCUGCCGCCGCAGUCGGACCCUACCGCAGUAAGCGAGCGCGCUGCUCUCGAUCAGCGACGCCGGCUCUUCGCACAAUGCACCGAACUGGCUGACGUCGUGCAAGAGGAGCUGCGCGCCGAGGUGGCGCGGGACAUGAAGGACGGCGUGGCGGCCGUGCCACCGCUUGCGCCGAGUGGGUGGCGCGUUUUGCACACAACCGGCUCGAGCUACUUUACCAUGUCGCGCCUGAAGAAGGGCUGCUACGUGGACAGCCGAGCCCUCGGCAGGAGGGCGAACGAUAAUGGCGACUCACCGCUGCCCGCGUCAGACAUGGUACCGCGGUACCGCAGCGUACACGAUCUCGUCACAGGCGGUGGACGUCCACCGCGCUCCGCCAAACGUGACGACGCCGCAGCGGAGAGGGAGAUGUGGGUGUUGCGCCGGGGCCGCUACACGGCAGCGCAGGACGGACAAGCUGCGCCGCAGCGGAAUAGCCCGGCGGGGGAUGAGGGUGACUGUCGUCAGCACGGCGGCAGUCGCCGCAGAGAUGCCGUGCGCUACGCCCGCUCCGACAUGCACAUCACCCUCUUCGCUCCGUUCCGCAGCCUCGAUUUGACGCUGUACAACCCACGCGUCGGCAUCUGCGAGUGGACGCGGUUCGACGUUUUGAUCCGCAAAGAGCGACCGAAAGCCGCGGCGGCGGCGGCGGCGUCACGUUCGUCGCCGCUGCUGGCGACGACGCUGGAAGGACAGCAGGAGGUGUGGGACGAAGGACGCUGCAUGUUUUUGCGCCUUGCGUAUGUGAAUGGCGAGCUGCGCGUGCGCUCAUUGCAGUUUGUGUCGCACAAGCUGGCGCGUGCACUGGAGGAGCACGCCGUCUUCGGCAAAGGCGAGCCGCUCUAUCUGGAGAUGCUGCGCCGCCUGCCCAUGGACGUUUCUUUCCACAAGCCAUCGCAGCGGCGGGGCAGUAGCUCUUUGGAGAGGAAGGCCCAACCGUCCACGGUGAGUGCCGCCUCGCCAGUGAACGUCUUUGACGCCCCGGAGCCGACCCCGGCCACGCCAGCGGCCGCGGCUCCACGGACGGUGUCGUCCUUCAACUCAGCCCGCGUGCUGACCUCGCAGUUCGAUCGCAGCGGCGAGUACGCACGGACGUUUGCCUACGCCGGCCCCUACAUCACGGAGCUGUCCAAGGAACUGCGCGAGGCGCUGAGCGAGUACAUCAUGAUGGACGUCGGCAUCACCAACGAAGUGGCCGAGUACGUGUGUCAGAUGCAGUUCUUUUUGGAGCAGGAGGAGUACGUUGGCUGGCUGGCGCAGUGGAUGCAGCUUGCCGCAACGCUGAAGCAAACACUCUGACACGCGUGCAGCGCGAUGAAAGAGAGCAAAGGACUCCGCGUGCCCCUGCCAGCAGCGUACAGCCACGAUCGCCCAUUUCUCAUUCUGCGUAUACGUCUCUGUGUGUGUGUGUGCGACGAAGCGUGCACACACACACACACGCUAAACCAGGUAACAAGACGAAGCGAAGAAACGGAGCAGAAAAAGACAUGCCGCAGUUGCCGCUGACCAGGUGGGAGAGGGAGUGGAGGGGGCGAAACGACAAGAAUGGCUGAGGAGAAGUGUUAACAAGCAGUGAUCGAGUGUCUCCGAUGGCGCUGGAAAGGGCACGAGAAAGCGAGUUCAGACCAGCGCCGGCGGAGGAGCUGCUGCGUCCAUGCAACCGCCACCCCUUCCUUCCCUCUCCCUCUCCUCCCGCUGCUUCUCUUCGCUACACGCACGGGUGUCUGCGUGCGUGGAUGCGCGUAGCAUACACGAUGCCUUAACGCUUUCCUCGCUUCUAGCUGUACUCCCCCUCCCCGUCGCCCACCACGCCCUGCC